rnacentral:rRNA from 1 species
AGGACGAACGCUGGCGGCGUGCCUAACACAUGCAAGUCGAGCGAGGAGAUCCUCGGGAUGAUCCUAGCGGCGGACGGGUGAGUAACACGUGGGCAACCUGCCUCAUAGAGAGGAAUAGCCUUCCGAAAGGGAGAUUAAUACCUCAUAACAUUGCAGUUUCGCAUGAAACAGCAAUUAAAGGAGCAAUCCGCUAUGAGAUGGGCCCGCGGCGCAUUAGCUAGUUGGUGAGGUAACGGCUCACCAAGGCGACGAUGCGUAGCCGACCUGAGAGGGUGAUCGGCCACAUUGGGACUGAGACACGGCCCAGACUCCUACGGGAGGCAGCAGUGGGGAAUAUUGCACAAUGGGGGAAACCCUGAUGCCAGCAACGCCGCGUGAGUGAUGACGGCCUUCGGGUUGUAAAGCUCUGUCUUCAGGGACGAUAAUGACGGUACCUGAGGAGGAAGCCACGGCUAACUACGUGCCAGCCGCCGC